rnacentral:rRNA from 1 species
GAGGGAUGUUCACGUCACACUGGAACUUGGGACCGGUUCCGAACUUCUUACCGGAGGCAGCAAUGUGGGAAUAAUGCAAUUGGCGAAGCCCUGAUUUCGAGGCCAUGGCCGGGGUGUGGAAGAAGGUUCUUUUCGAGUUGUAAGCAUCUUUAAGUGGGAGAGAAAGGGGCAAGUUACGUUAUUACGUCGAUUGUUUUGACGUUCCGACAAGAAAUAAACACCGCGCUAAUCUGUGUCCAGCAGGCCGCCGGUAAUACAGAGAGGGUGCAAGCGGUUAAUUCGGAAUUUCUGGGCGUAAAGCCGCGCGUCAGGUGGUUUGUUAAAUUGGAUGUGAAAUACCCCGGGGUCUAACCUGGGAACUGCAUUCAAAAAUGACUGAGCUAGAGUAUGGUAGAGGGGUGGUGGAAUUUCCUGUGUAGCGGUGAAAUGCGUAGAUAUAGGAAGGAACACCAGUGGCGAAGGGGACCACCUGGACUAAUACUGACACUGAGGUGCGAAAGCGUGGGGAGCAAACAGGAUUAGAUACCCUGGUAGUUCACGCCGUAAACGAUGUCAACUAGCCGUUGGAAGCCUUGAGCUUUUAGUGGCGCAGCUAACGCAUUAAGUUGACCGCCUGGGGAGUACGGCCGCAAGGUUAAAACUCAAAUGAAUUGACGGGGGCCCGCCCAAGCGGUGGAGCAUGUGGUUUAAUUUGAAGCAACGCGAAGAACCUUACCAGGCCUUGACAUCCAAUGAACUUUCUAGAGAUAGAUUGGUGCCUUUGGGAACAUUGAGACAGGUGCUGCAUGGCUGUUGUCAACUCGUGUCGUGAGAUGUUGGGUUAAGUCCCGUAACGAGCGCAACCCUUGUCCUUAGUUACCAGCACGUAAUGGUGGGCACUCUAAGGAGACUGCCGGUGACAAACCGGAGGAAGGUGGGGAUGACGUCAAGUCAUCAUGGCCCUUACGGCCUGGGCUACACACGUGCUACAAUGGUCGGUACAGAGGGUUGCCAAGCCGCGAGGUGGAGCUAAUCCCAUAAAACCGAUCGUAGUCCGGAUCGCAGUCUGCAACUCGACUGCGUGAAGUCGGAAUCGCUAGUAAUCGCGAAUCAGAAUGUCGCGGUGAAUACGUUCCCGGGCCUUGUACACACCGCCCGUCACACCAUGGGAGUGGGUUGCACCAGUUUGUAGCUAGUCUAACCUUCGGGAGGACGGUUACCACGGUGUGAUUCAUGACUGGGUGAAGUCUAAACAAAGGAACCACAGGGCC